CCCUAUGUCUUCUAUCCUCUUCUCGCUUUCUCUAUUCCUCCGCCUCUAAUCUCUAUCCUCUGCAACCGUUUCUUUUCAAUUAUAUCUUUUUGGGUGGUGAUAUUUUCUCUCUCCGGAUAAAGACCGGGCCGAUUGAGCUGUGGAAACCCUAGACAUCGCACGUGAUUUGGAUUCCCGAAGAAGGGAGUUUGUAAGAAAAUAGGUGGUGAAAUGCCUGGAGAUGAUUGCUUAGUGCGGCCCUUAUUUGGAGGUGCUAUAACUAGUUGCUUCCCUCCAAGGUUUCAGGAUGUAAGCAACAUACGAGAAGCUCCCGAUCAUCAGGAGGUUUUUGCGGAUCCUAGCCGUGAUGAGAGCCUGAUUUUUGAGCUGUUAGAUUUGAAACAUGAGGUUGGAGAUGAUGGAAGUGCUGUCUGGUUUUUACGUGACCUUGCCAAUGAACAAGAUGCUGCAGAAACCAUGGUCCUAGAGCAUUCUGGCACUCUCGAGGCAGUUGGUUUAGGUUAUGGAGGUGGACCUACAAUAGUUAAAAUGGCUGUUGGUCAAAUGGCCAUAUCGAAAGGAAGACAAGGAAGGGAGGCGCAGAAUCUUGUGCGGGUAUAUCUGGCAAAUUUGCGUCUGAAGGAAGUUUCUACUGAUGUGCUGAUUACUGCACACGAGCCGAUAUUGAUCAACCCUUUGAGUGAAAGUGCUAGGACUGUAGGAGCUGGGCCAGCUGUCCCUGCUGCACAAUCUGGAUGUCUGCCGGUAGCUGAGGUCUUCAAGCUCGCUGUCACCAACUUUAAGGUCCAUGACUGGAGUCUUUUUGGGUCAGGGGCGUGAGAAAAUAAAAGCAGAUAGGUAUGUGGGUUAUGUUAUCAAAAAAAUGUAACCAUCUCUUCUACCCCAUGAGAUUUCUUCUAGAAAUGGGCUAAAUAUCUGUGCAUUGUGUGAAGCAUAUCUUGAUCAUCUUGUAGAACCAUUGAAAGACUGAAGGUAUGUGCGAAUUGGUCGGGAUUUAUUCUAAACAGGGCCCGUGUUUCCAAUAAUCCACAGUGACUAAUGCAUAUUUUAAACUGCCGAAGGAUCUCAGCAUUCAGGAAUGGUCCAAGCCACAUUCAUGCAGUGCCUAUGAAUUUUCCUAGAUGCAUGUCUAUAGUAAGAAGAGGGUAUUCAGCAAAAGGGAAGAAAUUACGGUCAGGCACAUCACUUCGUCUGAUGGUUACAGUUGCUGAUGAUGACCAAAUCACCCAGGUAGAUGAGAACAUUGCCUGAAUGUCGUUUUGAGGCUACAAAUCUCUCCACUAGUUUUGAACCUUGGCUCUCAAUUAGAAAGGUUGUUUGGUACGUCAUAUCGUUGGCUUCUUACCAUUAUUUUUGCUGUCACUGCUGUCUAUUAUCACUUACCAGUGCUGCUGCUGCCGCCGAUCGCAUUACUCUGUUCGCUAAUGACAUCAAAAUUACUUCAGAGCUCCAUGGCCGAUUGGGUUCAAAGUGGUAGGCCCUAUCUCUUGUCGGCUGCGAACUUUCGUCAGCCUCGCACCCGAUCAAUAUGAGUGGUGGGCUCCAUUGCUGCAUCUGAGCUGGUUCCUCUUGUAUAUUUUAAAAGAUGGCAUCAAUUUAUCUUGCUCGCUACCAAUAAUUAUAGUAACAUGUGGGCCAUGGUAGGUUGGAGCUUCACUCAAAAAAAUAUAAAAAAAUAAAAAAUGAUUACAGUCAAUCUCUACCGUACAUAUGAUGAUCCACAGAUUGAUCUGCGUCGCGGUGGCAUCUAUAGAUGCGAGCUCGUCCGCCAAGUGGCUAAAUAUGGACCGUCAGGAUGUUGAGUGCAGCAGGUACACCUGAGAGUCCGUUUUAUUGGACGGUUGCAGGUAUCAUCGGAUCAGGGCGGUUUCUGCAGUAUGGGCCUUGGCCAUUUUUGGGUAAAAACUCAUGGGCUCAAGCACUGUUUUGGGCAGGAGGACGGGACCCACAUUGGACGACAAGCAGGAAAGUAGCACGUGUCCUCUUUCAGCUUUGCACAGUUUGCCUCCUCCAAUCCGAGGGUGGACUUUAGCGGUCGGAGAGUUGGAUUCUGGUCACCCCAGGGUGAACGUUAGGCAGCUGCGGCCCAGCUCUCCCUCUCCCUUCAAUUUAGCUACUCUCCUGUGUUAAGCCCAUAUUGGGAAGACAUGUGGGGCCCUGAGACCGUGAUCAGGGGGCUAAGACGUGAGUUUGCUCCUUUUCACCUCUUGUUGCAGGCAGUGAGUGGGAUCUGUCAGGAAAAUGGACUGCAGAAACUCCUAGUUCCUGAUGGGAACAGGCCAACUCAAACUUGACCCGUUUUAGCUCAGAUAGAGCCAUUGAUUAGUGCUAAAUUAGGAAUCACGACUUGUGCCGGACUCUACCUGACCGAUUUGAACUUAGCUAGACCCAUCUUAAAUUGAUGAGUGCUAAAAAUGACUUGACUCAACUUUAUUAGGAUCAAAAUAUCAGUGUUGAGCAUGUUGUAUUUGAGGUGGAAAUAAGGAUCAACAAUUGAUCUUUUGAGAGGGAGAUCUGCGGAUGUAUCAUUCAAGAAUUCAAACCAAAGCCUUUAACUGCUAAGUAGAGAGGUGCGGCCGCUUGAACAAAA